AUUUCCCGCCUCUUCUUCCUUAUGACCUUUCCUUUUUGGGCUCCAUAAACCCUACAUUGUUGGGGAUUUCGACAAUCUGCCAAACUUUCUGCAGAAUUACUGCAAUUGAGUUUUAAUCUUUCCAAUGGAGCGCUAUACCAUAGAACGUUGAGAGCCUUAGGCCAAAUCUCAAAGAAAAUAGAAGGAAGUAGCCCCACCAUUUUGCGUUUCAUUAAGGGGUUAUUGAAGCAAAAGUGAUACAGCAUUCAUGGUCAAUAAUUAUCGAUGCUUGCUCAGUUGAUGGCACAUGACGGUGCUGCAGUAUCCCUUUUCGAGAUCAACUUCUCUGCUUUAGGAGUUAAUUGUUCUCAUAUUUUUCUUGGACGUCUGAACUACAAAAGGCUUUUGAAACAUCAUCAUAUUAGUAGGUUCCCCCAAUAAGUUCGACAGCCGAUGGAGGAUCGAUAAAAGUUAAUGCCUGGAACUAGAAUCCAGCAAACUGCCAAUUUGCUGCACCAUGUUUUUCAGAUAUUCUGCGAUCAAAAUGAUGGGUAUGGACCACAGCAGGCUUGUUAGGUCAUGGAGAAAUCAGGUUCCCAAUAGAUAACAGUUUCAGUUCCCAAGUUCUCUCUCUUGUCACAGGUUCCAAAUUCCAUGGAGUUUAGCAUCUCUGAUUUACUGUUGCUAUCUUGAGGUAUGUUGGUAUUCCCCUCAAAUUUCAAAAGGAGGUAGAUGAAACGCAAGUUGACCAUAAAAGUUUAAAGGGUGCAUGCAUUGGAAACUUGAAAAUUGCCAAGAGUAUUAAUUGGUCAUUGAAAAUAGUAAAGAAUAAAGCCUAUAAAAAAGGAUGUGUUAGUGUUGAGAAAUUCAUCCUCUUUGUGAGAAGGAAGACCCUCUUUGAACUCUUUUGAGUGAUUGGUGUUAUUAUCCUCUUUGAGUAAUAUAGCGUGAUGGUUGGCCUUGGAGCUUUUGAGUGAUCUAUGUUCUCAGGUUCCUUGACAUAUAUGAGAUGUGCGGGGGUUUUCAAGUUUGUCCAUGCAAAACUUGUAUCAUUUGUAUGGAGUAUACUAGUUUGUUAAAGUAGCGGAUGAGAGAUCGUGGAUGUAGGCAUGUUUGGGCGAACCGUUUAAAAAUACUUUGUGUUGUGUUGUGUUGGUGUUUGUGUUCCUUAUUGUGUGUGUUGCUUGUGUGCUUCAUUAAUCCCCAAUAGUGGUAUCAGAGUUAAGAUCAUCAGAGUUUAUGAGUAUGGUGGAGCAUACUGUAGGGAGGAGUUUGUCAAGCACAAUGGAAGGGGUCAUUUGCAAAGCCGUUAUCCAAAGUUGAACAAAUAUAUUGUUGAAUGAAGUGAUUGCAACAUUGAAAGUGGUAUCCCCAUGGAGAUGGCUGACAUUGAACGAAAGUUCUAAGACGUGCAAUACAUACGAGGCUUAGAGCAGCGAUGACUCACAUUGAGGAGCUUUCAAGAAAGUGUAGUGAUUGGAUAGCAGUGUAUCAGUGGGCAAGGGAUAGCGGACGGUGGCAGUGAGCUUUAAAGACCAGCUAUGGCAAUUGGUAAUGGAGGACAAUCGUGAGGGCAACUCACAAAUAUCGAUAGAGGAAUGACGACCGAUAGAGAUGUGAUGACGAGCAGUGAUGCGUGGUCAAUGUUAGCGACAGUCGAUGACAUUGAGGUGUUGGAGAUUUGUUUUGAGGGAGGAUAUGCUGGGAUUCUCCAUAAAUCUCAAAAUGAUAUAGAUGAAAACAUGUUGACUAUAGAAGCUUGAAA